UUACUUUCUUCACGGAAAAAUUGCUACCUAUCGUUGCAUUGUGCGAGAAAAAAGCAACCGAACCUGUAGGCGGGAAAACUUACGAAUUUCUCGUUUGCCAAGUCUGGGCUAUUUUACCAAGUAUAUGCAACAACGCUACCGAUGUGAAAGAUAAUUUCAAGAAUAUAGCUAAACUGUUAG